UAAAGAUUUUAAUACAAUAAAAAAGGGUAAUUAAUAAAAAUACUCUGAAAUUAUAUGCUGUCUUUUUUCAUUUAUAUACGCAACGAUUGUAUACGUUUUUAACUUAAUUAAAGCAAUUAUAAAGCAAACAAUACAUCAAUAUUAAAAACAAACUUACCUUCGUUAACUUCGGCGUCUUUGUUCCCUUCUUUUAGACAUCUUUGGGCUUUUUUUUUCUCAAAUUUAUUUCUUUAUAUUUAUUCACUUUUUUUCUUAAUUUUUUAUUUUUUUGUAAAUUUGAAAAUUAAAAAAAUAUCAGUGAGGAUGACCACCCACAACGGCGGUGAACUAUAGCCAUGCGCCCGCAAUUAUUGAUGAACUUUAGACUUCGCUAGUGCGUUCCUUUCCCCGGGUGUAAAUAGCCGGGCGGAAUUAGUACCACUCGCCCUGGGCUUUAUUAUUUGUGUUACUGAAACUAAAAUAACUAAUUCGACUGAACUUCAUUUGAAUUAACGUUGAAAUACCGGGUUAUAAAUUUGAAUAUGUUCCAACACCAUUAGCUUUGGGAGGUGUCGGUAUAUAUAUUGACAAUACCCCAGUGGCGCCGUGGGACCCAUGUUUGGGAGCCAAGGGCACUACUUUUCCGACAAACCGGAAAAUAUUUUCCGACUGAAACGUCGCGAAAAUUUUUUUUACUGAAAUUUUUCUUGACGAACCCCCCCCGUCCCCAAAAAAAUUUCGGUCAGUGUGCCAUUUUAGGGGUCAAAAAUUUUUUCCGGACAUCCCAAAAUUUUUCGUUACAUCUUAAAAUUUUUCCGGACAACACCAAUUUUCUACAUUUAUCCGAAAGUACCAACGUUGGAAACUUUGACGAUUUCCGACAACGUUGACAAUU